GCGCCCGCGGGCGGUGGGCGGUGCGGGUGGCGGAGCGGCGCGAGGAGCGAUUUCUAAUCGGGCAGCGCCGUGUUUUGGCAUCGGCCGCGGUCUUGUCUGACGGGUUUGGAUGGGAGACGCGAUGGGAGCGGCAGUACCCACCCGGCAGCCAGAACCAAAAUUAACGUGCUCCAUCCACUGCAGCCGCAGAGGCAAAGCAGCGCGACGGGGUUGCUUGUACGUAUUCCUCCUUCCCCAGGCAGCGACUGGGGUUCUGACUUGAUUUUUGAUACUUAGGAGGUGGUCAGAAGGCUUUGAUGCAGUUUUCAUUGGCUUGGUAGAGCUUAUGUUAUAAAGGUAGAUAAAAAUCGCUUCAUGUUUCGGUUAGUUCGCCGAAAACAGUCAUUUUUAAUAGGACUAGGUAUGAAGUCUAGCUGUUGCUUUAAGUUCUGUAAAAAUUCGAAUGUAUUUUUAUACAUACUGCAUGGUAUUGGAAGAAACUUUAAAUACUAGGUUAAUCACAGUGAACAGUGCUUCCAAAACCAAAAAGAAGCACAGACACGUUGUCGCCUUGACAGGUGAACAAUUUUAUUGGGUAUGGUCAAGCCCUGUUAUUCUACUUUUCCUGAAAGAUGUCCAUUGACUAAGAAGUAGAGAAAGCGUAGUUCUCAUAAUAGCAAAAAUGCCUUGGAUUACUGCAUUCCUUCCAGCGUUUAUUGUAUUUUUCCCCUUUAGACAUGUAGAACUCAUUGUUCGGACAUGAGAAUUUUUAUUUCAUUUCAGGGGUUUGUUUACAUUAUGUAGAAAAUAAUGGCUUAUGUAAAAUAAGUCAGCUUUACUGCUUCCAUCCUUUUAAAAACGUUUAUUCAGCAUGAAAAUACUAGCUUCAUUACCAAAGAAAGAGUAGCAAUGCUACAAGCCAUUUUUUUUAAGUGUAGGUUCUCAGUCCAUCAGUAGCAUGCCCAAAGCACACUGCAGUAUGGCUGUGAUGAAACAAUACAGUUUCUAUUUAGUAACAAGAUUGUGUUUGCUUGUUUCUAACCUUGUUUUAAAAUUGUGACAAGCUAAAACACAACCUUAUAUGCUUAACAAAUUUGCCAUCCUUUUAUUUAUCGUAGAUCAGUCUGAAAGACGAUGCAUUUUUUAGCUCUUUAUUUGCUGGUUUUUAACCAGUGAGUGAAGGCUCUUUUUAACCCUGAGAAAACUUGCUGUCAAAGCCUUUGAUUUGAUUAAGGGCAUCCAUCAGCCAUCAGGCUUUCAUCUUAAAAUGAGGUGAACUUAGAUAAUGUUAGAAUAAUUGUUCUGGACUGCUGAUUAUCACAGUAAAAAAUAGCACAUGGAGACUUUUUUUCAGCAGAUUUGGUGCAGCUGUUCCCAUACCACUUCAUUAUUGCUUCCUGCACAUAAAGUGCUUCCAGUUCUUGAAUAUGAGCAGGCAGUACAAGGUAAGAAAUACCAGCACAAGUUGUUGUGCAGUAGCUAUCAGUUGUCUUACCUGCUAAUAGGCACAAUAUAGCUUAUCCAGAGCUAUUUUGCACUUACUGGAGAAUAACAUGCUGCACAUCAGCAGUUAUUGAGGAAUCACGCAGUGCAAUGCAAAAUUCAAGCUCUAGUUUGCUCUGUGUUAAUCUGAAUUAUUUUUUCUGUCUGAACAGUACAGAAAUUGAGGCAAAGCUAUGUGGUGAAGCUGCCCAUGCAUUAGGCAUAAAUUACUUCAGAAAAAUUCUCAUCCUUGAUUUUUCCGUAAAUACUUCAAGACUCUGAAUUUAAAUCAAUGGAAAAAUGCCCUUGGAAAAGCUGAAUGCUUUAACAAAAUGUAGAUAACUCACCAUUAGUUUUAAAUAAGCAAAUCAGCACAAUACCUUUUUUCAUCAAGUAUACAAUAAAAACAAGAAAGCUACCUAAAAGCCCCUCUCAGCACACCUUAUGUUCUUCUCUCUGCCUUUACCUUCCUACACUUCCACAUCCCAGGAAAGGGUAUUUUGAGAGUGCCUGGGAGAUGAAAGUUGAAUUAGUUCUGAUUAAAGAGCUGUGAGAAGAUAUAGCUCCCAUCAAGACUGGUGUGUCUGUGGCCUGAUCUACAGAGGCACUAGAAGUACUCGUGCACUGUAUUGAACUUUGCAGCUUUCCCAUGGGGGAAGAAGUGGGAGAGGAUGGAUACAGGCUGGGUAAACAGGUCCUGUGGGUAAGGGGGAGAAGUUGUGUGGUAUUGAUGGGGGAGGGAGGAGGGAGAGGGAGGUUGGUUGGUUUGUUUCAAGGUAACCAGGUCCUGUGGUCAUGCAGGGUUCUUUAGGUAACUACUCAAUGCCUUAACUUCUCUCUGGACGCAAGCAGAAGUCCCUAUUUUUAACUCUUGUGUUUUCAUCUAGGUAGCCCUUCUUGUAUCACGCAACCUGUAGUAUUCUCCAACAGCUCCUCUUUUAAGGUGAAGUUUUAUUGCAUUAAUCUAAUCUUGAAGUAAGAAAAAUUAUGAUAAUGCCAGCAGCAGCCUCUGUGUAUUACAGUAAAGGCCUGCAAUGAUCAUAAAAAGCAAAUUCAAUUACUGCUAUAAUGUUCAUAGCUGAUAGUACCUUAGGAAAUAGCAGAGCUGAUGGCUACUGGGAAACAUACUCUUUUAGGUAAAGUGUUGGCUGUUACAUCUCUGUUGACCAAAUCAUAGGCAUAUACAGUUGGAUGUCAUCAGCCUUCUGCAACCCUGUCUGUAACAGGAAGGUAUCAAUGUGCUAUACUACUCUUCUGUAGGGAAAGAAGCAAUUCUUCACUUACCCGUUACAGUCACUCGAGGAAAAAAAAUACUGUGUGUGUGAUUCAGUAUUGAAUCAUUCAUGGCGUACAGGAUUGUAGCUGCCAUAACUGUAAUGCAGCAGUCAGAUGUAGCCACUGCCAGAUGGACAUCUGAAAUUCAUUCAUCUCUGCAAGGUGAUUAACACACAAACAGAAUAAGGUCUACAGCCAGACUAAAAAUCUCAAGAACCAAAUAUACUGAAAUUCUGUGAUGCAUCUGACGACAAAAACGUAUUUCCUUUGACAUUAAGCCAAACCAACAGGUAACUUUUCAAACAGAAGCCAUAGUAGUGCAUCAUUCAAAGUAAUAAGCAGAUGGCGUAGUGUUCGUAGUCUAAAAAGGGAUGUUUCUGAGUGCUGUGUCUAAUCUUGGAAGAGCUAAUGCCUAAAUUUGUCCACUACUGAUGCUAAGUGAUGGCUGAAGAAGUGGAAUGUACAGGUUGUAAGCACACCUUAGUCUGGAAGGGUUCAGAUUUGUAUCUUUUAUACUUAAGGUACUUCAAGCUGUACAACAACUGUGAAGAAGGGUAUGGUAACCCACAGUAUCGCUCCUGUUAGAACUGGCCAUUCCGCAGGUUGGAAUGAAGGAGCCAGAGGAAGAGAUAUCUUUGUGAUUCAUUCACUUACACUAGAGUAGGAAGAGCUGCAUUCUCACUGUUCCUGUGGUUGUGUAUUAAUUAUGCAGCCAUUACGUUGGGGAGAAAAGAAAAUGCUAAGUCAAACAAAAAGGCAUUUUCCAUCUUUGACCUAAGUCUUGUACCUGGCAGUUUUCUUGGUAAGGUAUGUAUUCCAUAUACCUUAAGUUACUGUGAUAGGAUACUGUUACACAGAUAGGAUGGAGGGGCCUGAAUUCUGCUUCAUAAAAUUUUAAGCAUUUUGUUUAACUCUCAGUAGUUAGGGAAGGCAUGGGUAUCUCUGUGUUAGGCUUCACCUUAUCUAACUACCAAAUACUCAUGGUUAUGCACAGAAAAGAUGUAAACCAAUAUAUAGCAGAAUAUAUUACAUCAAUAUUCAAGAUUGCCAUAGAUUAAUCGCCUAGUAGAUUGUAUUUUAAAGGAGAUAAUUUCCAUGAGUAUGUCAUGUCUAUACAUGCUGUUUCUUUAUGUACUACUAUGUGGGCUUUGCUCCAAGAGCAUUCUAGCAACAAGAAAAGGUGUGUCUGUCUAGAGAGGGUGGUAGUUCUGCUAGGCUCCCGAGAAAUCUCUGUGCAUUAAAAACAAAGUUUAAAUUGGUUUGCUUUCACACUCUUCAGUAGGAGAUGAAAAUAAAGUCUCAGGUAUGCCAGUUUUAUUACAGUGUUGCUGAGAAAGGCAGAAAACGGUGAGAAGGAGGGAAAGAAAAGCAAUCUGAGAAAGCAUAGAAAAGAAAAAAAAAUACCAGCAAUUAGAGAAAACUAAACCGAGGUACUACAUUGUAAACAUAAAAUUUUACCCACUUCAUCAUCUUGUUCAUAACAGCACUUAAAUUUAAAAGCUGGGGGGAAUAAAACAAAUUAAUCACAGAACAUACUUGAAUCCUGUAUUUUGAAGGUACGUUUUACCUCCAAGCUCAUAAACUUCCCUACAUCUUGUAAUUUAUAAACACUUGCAUUGGUUUUGUGCAUUUUACUGUUGGAUCAUGAGUAAUCCAUAUUCUUUCUUGCUCACUAAAAGCAGCCAAACAGUCUCUUGAAAUAUGCCGUGCACGUUUCCAGUGUUUCUAAUCCUAUGCACAGUCCUAUAGCUUCAGUUAGCGUGCUAGAUGCUACAUUUCCCAUCUGUACAGUCACAAAAUUACUACCUUAGCUAUACAGCUCCAGACUUGCAUAGGGGAGGGUUUCAGAUGGCUUCUGGCCUGUCCCUUUCAGAGAAUUCCUCUACAGUAACCCUGUGUAAGCCAGCCUGCGCCACGCGUUGCAGAAGUGGGAGUAGCAGCGAGUGUGUAUUACCAUAAGUGCUGUCUAACUCUGUGGAGACGUUGAAUCGACCAUUGCUAAAUACAGUAUCUGUCAUUGGAGUCCAGCUAACACACAUUCUAGUUUAAAAGACUACAAUAUUAGGAUAUCUGGAAGUUAAGAAUAUUAAGAGAUCUUAGCCAUUAUUUCAGACAUACAUGUUUUUUUACCUUCUAUCCCAUUUGUACUAGAUAUCUAACCUUAAAACUAUCCAGGAUAACAUUCCACAUUUUAAUUGAUGCAGUUAUCUCAACUACAGUAGUGCCCUCAGCAGCUUUUUUAUUUGCUGCAUGUAACUAAAAAUACAAUGUUGAAAGACAUAUUUCUGUGUAAGAUACAUAAUCAGAAGUAUUUUUAUUUUUCACCGUAGUGAGAAGUGCUUACACCUUCACUAUAGGAUUAAAAAAAAAAAGAGAGACAAAGUUCAUGUCAGGGACACUUGCAGAUUUAUUUUGGCAACCACAGUGGCAAACAGCUGACAGCUAAAGAAACUGGUAAGUUCUGUUUUUCAGGUGCACCAUACUGUAUCGGUUAAUGUUGAAUACAAAUGAAAUGUUUUCAGCCUUAACUUUGUGGAUAGAUUUAAAUUAACCAUUCUUCUCAUUACUACUGAAACCAAGUACAGCUUGAAAUGUAAUUGAUACAUUAAUUUAACUUUUAACAUAUCUGAAAUAUGAAUGUAUACUUAUAUUGACUUACGCUGAGGGAUUGCUAGGGGUGUGUUGCUUAUGCUUCUUAAUGUUCAGUACUCAAAAAGCAGCAGUUCUUGCCCAAGGAGCUUAUAUUUAAGUGGACAGAAAACAUCUAAACAAAUUAUAAGAAAACUUUGCAUUUUUUAAAACCUUCUGGUAAAGAGCAAGAAACAUUUGUACUGGCUGAGCCUUCUAAUAAAAUGUAAUUACUAACUCUGAAAAAUCCAGAAUCUUACUUUGACUAGAAAUCUCCCCCCCCCAAAUACUUUAUGUAUUCCAAGUCUUUAUUAAAUACAAAUCCUUUUUUCAAAUGUAUUUAAUGGUGAAGGGAAGUAUCUGGAGUUAAAAAGCUAUGAGAAAAGAAAGGGACGAAGCAAUAUGAAUCUUAAAAGCUUCUGGAGAUGAGAGAAUUGCUCAACAGUGUUCAUCCAAAGCAAAGGACGGAGAGCAGUGCUACAGUGGUUGUUGAUUACCCACGAAAAGACCAUUGUGCUUCCCUGCUAUAGUGUGUGCAGAAGCUUGCUCUCUGCUUUGUCUGUUCAUGGUUAUCUGUGCCCUUUUCUCUAAAAGGAAACAGCAGUGUUCAAUCUCUUAAUAUUUUUUAUGGUCCUUUUUCACUUUAGAAAGCCUGAACUUUGUUUUGUUUACAGAUGACUUACUGUCUUGCAUUUGCUCCUCCUACCCACAGUCUUUAUGUUGAGUGUGGGAGGUCUUUCCUGGAAUAUAGCAGCCACAUACGUUGUCGUUAUGAUAUGCCCCAGAGCCCAUUUAACAGUUUUCUACUCUUCAGAAGCUAUGAAACACUUUGUAGUAAAGUACUUCCAAGUUGCUUGGAUGAAAGCCAUUAUAAAAGCGCAGAGAAUUAUUGCUUAAGCAUUUGGAUGAGUUCAGGAUUUCCUCAUAGAAACAGGAAGCAUCCCAAAUCUCAUGCCAUCUUUGUUGGCGUUUGUAGGCUGGUGCAUCAUAAGUCCCUAUUUGACAGUCACUGGAGCUCGAAGGACACAUCAUAACAAUCAGUAAAACAUGACUCUUGGGCUCAAAGCCAAAAGGUGAACAUUUCUGGGUUGUUAGCUAAUCUAGGAGAUCUGACUCAUUUUGAGCUACAGUCACUUCGUACAAGAUCACACGAUCUUAUUUAGCUAACAGUGUAUCUGAUUAUUAUUUAAAAUUAGUUCAUUGCUUGACUACAGUAAUUCAUUGUUAGAAGUUUAUAAGCACAAUAAAGGGUGGAAUUCACUUGCCUUACGGUAUUCCACUUGAAUCUCCAGAAGGUCACUUUUCUCUCAUAGUUCCUGUAUCACAUCUGCCAGCUCUGUGCGGAUGUCUCUUACAGCUUUGGGAUGUCUGGAGCAGCUGCUGUGAACUGUUGAACUGUCAGCUGAAUCUCACUGUAAGCAUGCAGAAACAUUUUUGUAUUAACCACUUUUGCUCUCAGAAUAGUCUGAACAACAGCGUGGGUUCAGGAUUUUGACAAGAACUGAAUUACUCUGUUGAAGGUAAUGCGGUCGUUCCCUAGCUUUGGCUUUCAGAAGUGUGUUAGUAUUUUACAUUCAUCAAGUCAUUGUGUUGGAUAGACCACAGAGUAGAGGGGCAAGGGAGUAGGCUGAAAAGUUCACUACAGUGUAGAAGCAAAAUGGAGUAACCACCCAGAUUUAGAUAGUAGUGGUAAAAUCAGUGCAGCUAAAUUUGAAGUGUCUGGAAAUUACACUGUUGGCCAUCUCUCAAAUUCUAAUAAAUUUUUAUUAUUAUUCUUAGUUUGAAAUGUUCCGUGUUUGGUCUCUGAUUGUGACUGAAAUACAGGGAAGGGCAACCUACGCAUUUCCUGUAGAUUCAAAUGAGUUUUGUACAGAUCUAGUUCACAUAAGUCUGGAUAUUCCUGUUCAUUUAGAACAUGAGAAGUUUCCGUGUACAUGUUACAACUUACAAGAAAACUUGCAGAAGUUUUUAAGGCCACUUCCUCUAAUAGGCAGCUUUAUAUUAUGAAAUGUAUUGUAUCAUUCAUAAAUAAAGAUGGUCACUGCAAUGUUAA